AAUGAAUUUGAACUGGAAUUUGUUUAGCUUAGGAACAACUAAGCCAACAUCACAGAAUAUACAAUAUUUGAUGCUAUGGCUGCAAAACUUCUUUCUGUAACCUAUGCCAACUUCUUCAGACAAUCAUCCAUCGUUGUAGUAUUCCACCGGUUUCAGUCACCAAAUAUUGUGACCAUCACCCCAUGUUCCAGCACUCUGAACUCUCCUCCAUGGUGUCAAGGAUUUGUCAUCUCAUAUUGCAGCAUUGGGGCCUUCCCGUCUUUUGCAGUUUAUCCCAAAGGCAGAUCAUCUGCCUUGGGGACUGAUAAUGUGCCGUGAAAUAGCCUUCAAUGCAUCCAAACUGGCAGUACUUCAAGCUGUGUACAUACUCCACAGGUUUUGUGCUGUUAAAUUGCUCCACCCACAUUCCCAUGCUCACAUCUUCCAUCUUGAACAACCUUAAUUUAUGUUUCUCAAACUCAGAAACAACGAACUGGGCAAUGUCAGAAGACAAAAUGUAGCCUGGCCCAUUUGCAUAGGGAGGAUAAUCUUCCUCUGGCCACUCCUCAUAUGUCACUGCCCAUUUACCAUAUCGAAGAGGCUUAUGGUAGUAAUUUAUGUUCCCAAUGUACAAGCUCCUACCCUCAGGAACUUUUCUUGCUUCAUCAAUGACUGCGUCCACUCUAACAAAUGUGUCAUCAUCACCCUUCAUAAUGUACUUUGCAUGCACAGUGCGGACCCCGUAUUCACAGAUGGCAACUGUUUUUAAUACCACAAGAUCAUAGUUAUCCAUGUAAGGCACAAUAACAAUGUCACCAAAAAAUUCUGCCUCUCUCUUCAACUCCAAAUUCACUUCUUUCCGUGCAUGCAAUGCUACAAAGAACCGAGCUACCAUAUUUGAAGAUUUAAUGAGACUGUGCUGCAUCCAAGACUUCCUCACAGCCAUCCUCUCAGCAAAAUGGUUGCCUGCAGAAAGAACACCAAUAAAAAGUUCUGCUGGCCCGUCAGGAAGAGGUGGUGCUCUCCAUCUGUCUGUCAUCUCUAAAUGCCGCUGAGGAGCAAAACUUGGGUGUGUUGUGGGCAACGAAGCAGCAAAUACAGAGUGAACGUCCACGUCACCAUUCACAGUUAGCCCUGUGGCAUCCUCAAGAGUAUAACCAGUGCGAUAAGGAAACGAAGUGGCAUGCCUCCCAUCAACAGUGACAUGAUAACCUUCCAAACCAGCACUAAGAGUUAGAACAAACAGCCUCUCCUCUACAAAUGGAAAUGGCCAGUCAACAGACACCUUUUUAGUUCGGCCUAUUAGCCGGCUUAACCACCAAAUAGCCUUUGACUCCUCUGAGCGAUUGUCAUCAUCACGGAUCCACUUCUCACACUUCACUUGAUCAUCAACCGUCUCCUCAUCAGCCUUAGACUUCCAA
rnacentral:misc_RNA from 1 species